rnacentral:lncRNA from 1 species
GAGGGAGUAAAUGUUGUAGAAUUAUAUGACAAUCAUGACUUUUUAAUCCUGAAAUUUUUUUAUCCUUAAGGUUGACACAUUGAAAAAUAUUUGAGGAAAAUCCAUCUGAGACCUUUAAAUUCUUCAAAAAUUUGAAAAACUUUUGCUUAUCUUCAUCAGAUAAUGUGUAAGGUGCUGCUGGCAACUCAUAUUUAUCUCCAUUUUGUAUUGGAUGCAAUUCUUUUCAUAUUUUCAUUUGUUGUAAAUCCAACCAAGUACUCAAGGUGUCUUUUGUUUUCCCUUUGACAUCUAAGAUUGUCCCCAAAAUCUGUCACAUAUAUUCUUUUCAAUGUGCAUCACAUCAAGAUUAUGUCGCAACAAUAAGGUUUUCCAGCAUGGAAGAUCAAAGAAUAUACUCUUCUUAUUCCAGUUAUCACCCCUUUUCUUGUGUGAUAUUUUAAUCUUCUUUUGUUGAUCCUUUGUUAAUGGCAACCCAUCUAAAUCAGCAACCUGAUCAAGAAUAUCAUCA